rnacentral:rRNA from 1 species
CGCUUAGAUGGUCUGGGCGGCACGCGCGCUACAAUGAUGCAUUCAGAAAGUCUUCUGACCUUAGAAGGUUGGGUAUUCUCCAAAGUGCAUCGUGAUGGGAAUAGUUUAUUGCAAUUUUUAAUCUUGAACGAGGAAUUUCUAGUAAAUACAGGUCAUCAACUUGUGUUGAUUACGUCCCUGCCCUUUGUACACACCGCCCGUCGCUCCUACCGAUUGAGUGGUCCGGUGAGGCUUUGGGAUCUGAGCGGAAAGAGCGUUUCGCUGUUUCUGCUCGGAAAACUCAGUCGAACCUUAUCAUUUAGAGGAAGGAGAAGUCGUAACA